rnacentral:rRNA from 1 species
GACGAACGCUGGCGGCGUGCCUAAUACAUGCAAGUAGAACGCACAGUUUAUACCGUAGCUUGCUACACCAUAAACUGUGAGUUGCGAACGGGUGAGUAACGCGUAGGUAACCUGCCUGGUAGCGGGGGAUAACUAUUGGAAACGAUAGCUAAUACCGCAUAAUAUUGAUUAUUGCAUGAUAAUUGAUUGAAAGAUGCUAUUGCAUCACUACCAGAUGGACCUGCGUUGUAUUAGCUAGUAGGUGAGGUAACGGCUCACCUAGGCGACGAUACAUAGCCGACCUGAGAGGGUGGUCGCCCACACUGGGACUGAGACACGGCCCAGACUCCUACGGGAGGCAGCAGUAGGGAAUCUUCGGCAAUGGACGAAAGUCUGACCGAGCAACGCCGCGUGAGUGAAGAAGGUUUUCGGAUCGUAAAGCUCUGUUGUAAGAGAAGAACGGGUGUGAGAGUGGAAAGUUCACACUGUGACGGUAUCUUACCAGAAAGGGACGGCUAACUACGUG